rnacentral:rRNA from 1 species
GUGCCAGCAGCCGCGGUAACACCAGCCCCUCGAGUGGUGGGGACGUUUAUUUGGCCUAAAGCGUCCGUAGCCGGCCGGGUAAGUCUCCCGUUAAAUCCAGCGUCUCAAGCGUUGGGCUGCGGGAGAUACUGUCCGGCUAGAGAGUGGGAGAGGUCAGCGGUAUUCCUGGGGUAGGGGCGAAAUCCUUUGAUCCCAGGAGGACCACCAGUGGCGAAGGCUGCUGACUAGAACACGUCUGACGGUCAGGGACGAAAGCUGGGGUAGCGAACCGGAUUAGAUACCCGGGUAGUCCCAGCCGUAAACGAUGCAUGCUAGGUGUUGGGUUGGCCACGAGCCACCCCAGUGCCGCAGGGAAGCCGUUAAGCAUGCCGCCUGGGGAGUACGGUCGCAAGACUGAAACUCAAAUGAAUUGACGGGG